CUAUACAGUGAAACUGCGAAUGGCUCAUUAAAUCAGUUAUCGUUUAUUUGAUAGUACCUUACUACUUGGAUAACCGUGGUAAUUCUAGAGCUAAUACAUGCUAAAAACCCCGACUUCGGAAGGGGUGUAUUUAUUAGAUAAAAAACCAAUGCUCUUCGGGGCUCCUUGGUGAUUCAUAAUAACUUAACGAAUCGCAUGGCCUUGUGCCGGCGAUGGUUCAUUCAAAUUUCUGCCCUAUCAACUUUCGAUGGUAGGAUAGUGGCCUACCAUGGUUUCAACGGGUAACGGGGAAUUAGGGUUCUAUUCCGGAGAGGGAGCCUGAGAAACGGCUACCACAUCCAAGGAAGGCAGCAGGCGCGCAAAUUACCCAAUCCCGACACGGGGAGGUAGUGACAAUAAAUACUGAUACAGGGCUCUUUUGAGUCUUGUAAUUGGAAUGAGUACAAUUUAAAUCCCUUAACGAGGAACAAUUGGAGGGCAAGUCUGGUGCCAGCAGCCGCGGUAAUUCCAGCUCCAAUAGCGUAUAUUAAAGUUGUUGCAGUUAAAAAGCUCGUAGUUGAACCUUGGGACCUGGCUGGCCG
rnacentral:rRNA from 1 species